GACAGAGGAGCCAAGCGUUGUCCGGAGUAACUGGGCGUAAAGCGCACGCAGGCGGUCGUGCACGUGGGGUGUGAAAACUGGCGGCUUAACUGCCAGAGGCCACCUCAUACGGCGCGGCUGGAGCCCUGCAGAGGUCCACGGAAUUGCCGGAGUAGUGGUGAAAUGCGUAGAGAUCGGCAGGAACACCCAGGGGGAAACCAGUGGACUGGGCAGGAGCUGACGCUCAGGUGCGAAAGCGUGGGGAGCGAACCGG
rnacentral:rRNA from 1 species